rnacentral:rRNA from 1 species
AUUGAACGCUGGCGGCAGGCCUAACACAUGCAAGUCGAACGAGUGGCGGACGGGUGAGUAAUGUCUGGGAAACUGCCUGAUGGAGGGGGAUAACUUCUGGAAACGGUAGCUAAUACCGCAUACCCUCGGAUGUGCCCAGAUGGGAUUAUCUAGUAGGUGGGGUAAAGGCUCACCUAGGCGAAGAUCCCUAGUUGGUCUGAGAGGAGGACCAGCCACACUGGAACUAGGACACGGUCCAGACUCCUACGGGAGGCAGCAGGGGGGAAUAUUGCACAAUGGGCGAAAGCCUGAUGCAGCCAUGCCGCGUGUAUGAAGAAGGCCGUCGGGUUGUAAAGUACUUUCAGCGGGGAGGCGUUACCCGCAGAAGAAGCACCGGCUAACUCCGUGCCAGCAGCCGCGGUAAUAC